CGCUUCGGACUCCGUCAGCACUAGAUGCUUCCAGCAGUGCCGUCCAGCAGAGUUCACUGUCCUUCCAGCUGAGGUCAGAGUCUGGGUGACAGUCCCCCCUCACCUCUUGGCCACCGUAGGCGGAUGAGCCAGCCAUGACUUACACAGGGCAGAGGUCAUCCUGGUAACAUCUCUGGGAUGAUGAAAAGAUUGAAGGACAUUGCAUCUAUGACGUAUAUUGGCUGGAGCUACAGUGCACAGUGGAUCGUAGCUGCAAGACAAAUGGCCUGUGGGAUGGCACAGGAUGAAGACACGCUGAACACUCCUUUUGAAAAGAGACAAGUUGGAACCAGGUUCCCACUGUGAGGACCUGACUCAUGAUGAUGUCGCCUCAGGGCACUAUCACAGCUCAGUGUCUGCUGGGAAAUGCCCACGGCAGAGCGCAGAACUGGAACAGCUGCUGACAACACUCAAGUCCUCGGAGUCGGAGUAGCACAGGGACAACUUGUGGGGUGGAUGGCGGCAGAGAGGAUCAGCUACGAUAGGGUACAGCUACCAGGCUGGCUUCACUCUGGGACCUCCUACCAGCUCUCCUCCACCCGCUUUUCAGUCAAGCUGCAGUAAUUUUUAACUGCAGGGGUAGGUGCUAAGGGUGUGAGGUGUUUCUUCAGCCCUUUCCCUACUCUGGUGGCCAAGCACCUAACUUUGGACCUUGUGGGAUGCACUUGUCGAAGCCCCACUCUCUUCUCUGCCUCUCACUGUGGGUCCUGGACUUGCUCUCCCCAGGCACGCUGCCAUGCUCAGCAGAAACCUAGUGUCCAGUGCUCAGUUACUGGCCAAGUAAAAGAACUUGCAUUCAAGAUGUUCCCUGGUAGGACCUUAGGCUCCAGACCAGCCUCCUGUUAGCCACUCAUCAUUCUCUGGAGUCUGAAAUCUAAGGGACUUGAUCAGACGCAGCUACUGCCAUCAUGCAAGCCAUUGGCUUUCGUGACAGUUAAGCUAGAUUGGCUACUUGAUUGGCUAGGGCGUCUGGGCAUGCCUCGGUGGGUCAUGGAGGCAUGACCUUGGGGCUUAGAUCCAGUCCUGGCACCCUUCCUCUCUGGUGCUGUUGCCCUGCUCUGCUUUCUGGCCACCAUGAACUGAACAGCUUGCUCCCCAUGCCCACCAUGAUGCCCCUGCUUGGGGCCAACUGACCAUGGACUGAAUCCCCUGGAACCAGGAGCCAAAUAAACAUCUCUUUACGUUGUUUCUGUGGAGUGAUUUGUCCCAGGGACAAGAAGGCUGACUGGCGCAUGUUCUUGCCUCUGCACUAUGGCUCAGAUACCUGAUUGCCUGGACACUUCACUGAAACCACCUUUGCCUCACCUGUGCAGCCCUAGGCUCCCAUACCGGGAUCUAAACAAAACCUCCAUGAAGUUGCCCUGGGGAAACCACCAAAGUGAAGGUAUUAAGAGGCAGAGAUUUAUAGUACUGAGGAACACUACCUUAGAGAUUUCCAAAAUGAAUCACAAGGUUUCUUGUAUUGCCUCAACUAGAUGAUCUAAUUGGUGGUUCAAUUAAACAAUUACAGUAUUUAAUGUUUCACUUUAUGUCCACUGUCCCGAGUCACUAUAGUUUGUCAGAGUGGGAAAUUUACCUCUGGGGAUCUACAUCCUUCAGUGGCUCUCACACCGUGGCCUGCAGUCAGUACAGAUGUGGAUAUGGAUGCGGCCCUCUUUCAUAACUCAUAGA